rnacentral:rRNA from 1 species
GAAUUGUUCGCAAUGGGCGCAAGCCUGACGACGCAACGCCGCGUGGAGGAUGAAGGUCUUCGGAUUGUAAACUCCUGUUGCUCGGGACGAAAAGCUCUGACCUAACACGUCAGAGUCUGCCGGUACCGAGUGAGGCAGCCCCGGCUAACUCUGUGCCAGCAGCCGCGGUAAUACAGAGGGGGCUAGCGUUGUGCGGAAUUACUGGGCGUAAAGGGCGCGUAGGCGGCACUCUAAGUCGAACGUGAAAUCCCCGGGCUCAACCCGGGAACUGCGUCCGAUACUGGAGGGCUCGAAUCCGGGAGAGGGAUGUGGAAUUCCAGGUGUAGCGGUGAAAUGCGUAGAUAUCUGGAGGAACACCGGUGGCGAAGGCGGCAUCCUGGACCGGUAUUGACGCUGAGGCGCGAAAGCCAGGGGAGCAAACGGG